GAUGAACGCUGGCGGCGUGCUUAACACAUGCAAGUCGAACGGGGUUUAGCGAGAGCUUGCUUUUGCUAAACCUAGUGGCGGACGGGUGAGUAACGCGUGAGUAACCUGCCUUAGACUGGGGGAUAACACUUAGAAAUAGGUGCUAAUACCGCAUAAGCGCACAGUGCCGCAUGGCACAGUGUGAAAAACUCCGGUGGUCUAAGAUGGACUCGCGUCUGAUUAGCUAGUUGGUGAGGUAACGGCCCACCAAGGCGACGAUCAGUAGCCGGCCUGAGAGGGUGAACGGCCACAUUGGGACUGAGACACGGCCCAAACUCCUACGGGAGGCAGCAGUGGGGGAUAUUGCACAAUGGGCGAAAGCCUGAUGCAGCAGACGCCGCGUGAGUGAAGAAGUAUUUCGGUAUGUAAAGCUCUAUCAGCAG
rnacentral:rRNA from 1 species